UAAAGGCAAAAGUUUUGGGUUUAAGUCCCUUGUGAUGCGGCCUUUAAAUUUCUUUAUUUAAUAUUGUUAAUUUAUCAAAAAAAAAAAUGAAACCCAAACUUCACAAAAAGAAAAAGAAAAAGAACAAUGCACUUCACAAAUACAGAUUUCUAACAUUUCUAAAAGAUCUACAUAAUCUAUCUUCUCAUUUCGCCUAAAGGUUUUGUAAACUUCCCCUGUAAAAAACUCUAUAAUAUGGUGUGGUGCAUUGUCAUCGAAGGGUCUGGUUAUUGUGACAUUGGCC
rnacentral:lncRNA from 1 species